rnacentral:misc_RNA from 1 species
AAGUCGUAACAAGGUUUCCGUAGGUGAACCUGCGGAAGGAUCAUUAAUGAGUUAGGGUCUUCGGGCCCGACCUCCAACCCUUUGUAGUUGAAAACCCUUGUUGCUUUGGCGGGACCAGUCCGCGUCCCUUUUCCCCCUUCACCGGGGGAUCGUGGCACGGCCGCCGGUCUUCGGCCCGUCGAGCGCCCGCCAGAGUCAAACCAAACUCUUGUUUUAACAGUAUCGUCUGAGUAAAUUGAUAAAUCAAUUAAAA